GAAAAUGAAAUAUAAGAGCUUCUAACUCUAAAAAUUGCUAAUAAGUAACAUUUUUU
rnacentral:tRNA from 1 species